UCCCGAGUAGAUUGGUUAUGAAUAGGGACUCACCGAGAUUAGAACGCGAUGGUGCAAGAAACACAAGGAUUUAGACAGGUUCAGGCCGCCGGAGCGUAAUACCCUAUGUCCUGUGUGAUGGUUCGUAUUCCCUUAGGUAUUAUUCGAUGUGUCUCCCCCUUCUUGAGGGGGUCCCUGUUCGCCCUUAUAUGAUCCGGGGGAACUGUGUUACAUGGAAAGUCCUAGUCGAGUUCUGUUAGGAUCCUAGUACGAGGAGUUCGGCUAGUUCCCGAGUAUGUCGACUAGUUCUACUCUUAUUCGGGUAGAUACAAAAGAGGUACGACAUAUUCAUGUGCUACUCCCUACUCUAGAAUAUUCCAUGCCCGUGGGCACUCCCGCUGUCCCGGGUCUGACAAGCCCCCGAGCUCUUCGUAGUCGAGUCCUGCAGGCAUCGAGCGCUUCUGAAGACGUCUGUCGGGUACUUCGAGAGCUUUUGGAUCUCUGCCAGCGUAAUCGAGUGCUUUGGGUGCUUCUAGAGUAGGUUGUCCAUCCUCAGAGUCCAUCGAGUGCUUCGAGUAGUCUUCCGAGUGCUUCUUUGGCUGCAUCGAGGCUAUGAGGUGCUCAAGCCCCGAAUCUGUCUUGAAAUAUGGUGCGCGAUGUACUCGCGCUCCAUAUGGAGUAGCCCCCGAGCCUUAGUUUGAUUUGAUGAAUCAGGCUGAGGAUGAACUCAAUCUUUCGGGUCCUUCGAUCUUCCAUUUGAAGUUUGGAACUUUUUUCAAAAAAAAUUUGCCAUUUAUGACGCGUUUCCCGCAGCCCCCGAGCCUUGAAUUCAAAUCCGUGAUUUGGGGUUAAGGGUCCAGGAGAUCGUGUUACGUCCUCUUGUGAUCUUUCUGAAAUCAUCAGUACUGCAACGAAUCUUGUGAAAAGGUGACAGUGCGGUGUACUAUUUGCCCAUGGGUUCACGUGGCGAGUACUGCUGUAGAAUCUUUUCUGUUUCGCCCGUGAGCUUCCCUGUCCUUGGAUGUCACGGGCUGAGCUGUGGCUCUGCUGCUUCUUCUAUUUAAGCAGGGUCUGCUGCACUUGUAUCUUCGUUCUUGCAGUUGUUGUCAUGGGUUCCAAGUGGAGUUCUUGACUGGAGAGUACUCGACCUCCUGAUGAGAGUACUCGAUUCAUCCUUGUAGGUUCUAGAAGAGUGUUUGCGAGCAGCACAGACACUUGUUAUCUCUCAGGCCGCCACCUUUGCUUCUCACAUCGCAGCCAUCCUGGUUGUCUUGGUGGGCUGAUGGUGGAAGCUGUGUCGAAAGCUUUUGCGAUCUGUUGGAGCCAUUCUCUGGAUUUUAGUGGCUUCUGUAGAGAUGGCAUUGGCUUUUUUGCAAAAUAUAUCAGGGAGAAGAGCAGGUGCAAGAAGAGGAUUUGUGAUGUUUCUGAUCAUGCAUAUCUUCUUACAACAAGCCUUUUCCUCCCUGAAUGUAUUUGGAUUACUCCCCUUCGGGAGUAACAAGCUUUGUAUCUUUGUAUCAGCUCUUGGGCUGUCCUCUUUGUAGUUGAGAUCGAGUGAUUUUGAGUGGUGAAACCGUUGAGAUCUGUGUAUUUUCUUCUAUUGGAAUGUAAUCCCUGGAGUUAGAUUUCCAUUUUUGAGUUGAUUUCGUUUCUUUUGGAGCGAAUCUCGAAGUUUUUGGCUGAAAUAACUCUGAGAACUUGGUUUGGGACCUUUGGACUUCUUGUUAUUUACCGUAUUGCCACUGGCUCUGCUUAUUUAAUUGUUCGGGCAAAUCUAGGUUUAGCACGCUUCCUUUUCCUUCUCCGCCGCCGCAAACUCAUCUGCUCUCGCCUCCGAGUGCCGCGAGAAACUAGCCACCGCUAGCCCCCGAGCGUGAAGUAAGAGAGAAUCAUUCUUUCCUCAUUUCCAUGGCUCCCAAGAGGUCUGCCGGAAGGGGGAAGGCGGGCGAAGCUGCCGGGGAUGAUGCGGAAGUCUACGGGUGGAAGUCGAGUAAGUGUACCGAAUCUCAUCUUCUGAAUCUUGUAGAGAGUCAUCUUCUUCAAUCUUGGAGCAUGAUCCACUGGCGUAGAUUGGAGGGGGAGUCUUUUUCUCAUAUGGAGGAAAACGAAUUUGUUGUUUUCCUGCCUUAUGUUCUUUGGGGCCUCGAUUUUCCCGUUUUUUUAUUUCUUCCGGGUCUCCUUUUCCAUUGGGGGGGUUCAAGUGCAUCACUUGACCCCUAACUCCAUUCUCCACAUAUCGAUUUUUCUCCAUCUUUGCGAAGCUUUCUUGGGGAUUGAGCCCCACUUAGAUUUGUUUCAGUAUUUCUUCCAUCUGAAACCACAUCCCAACGAAUCUAAGGUAGAUGUAGUCAGGGGAGCCGGGUUGUAGUUUCUUUAGGGGAAGAAGACUAAGUACAUCCCUUACGAGUUGAGUGACAAGGUCAUCGACUGGAAGGAGAUGUGGUUCUCUGUUAGGAAUCUUUCUUCUUCCCUUUCUCUUCGCACUCCUAGUCCCCCUGUGAAGAGACCACGUUGGAAUUCCAAGGGAGGCAGGGCAGACUAGGUGAACUUUCUCCUUGGGGAGAUUGAAGUUUUGAAGGCAGAACACUAGAUUACAGGUGCAUCCGUGGUGGUGCACUGGACCAUUCGUAGGGUCCAGCCUCUUCAGCGGCGGGUUCACCUUGCCUUCGAGUAUACGGGCGAGGAGGAUCCCACUCGAUAUGCUCGGGAGAAGAUUUCAGAGGACGAUCUGGAGAAUCGAGUGGCUGCGCUCUUGAAGAGCAUAAACGGGAGGCCUAGUCUUUCUGGGGCCUUCAGAGCUGAUAGGCGUCCUCGGGAGGUACUGGUUCGAGUAGUAGAUUGUAGUUUUAAGUCGAGUACUUUUUGUCGAGUAGUCAAUUUGAUCUGGUAUCUUUCGUGCAGAUUAAUCCCGAAAACUAUCAGAGUAGGCCUCCGUUGCCUGAAGAUGUACCUUUGGCACAUACUGACUCAAGUGUGAAUCUUUGACUGCCUUUGUUUUUUGCUCUUUUUGUUGUUCGAGUUGUUGGGUCUUCGACUGAUGAUGGGUGUUUUUGGUAUGCAGGUCCGUCGACCAGUCGGACGGCGUCGGAUGUCCAGGAUCGGGCGGCGGACGAGCCAGCCAUCGAGUCUACAAGGACUCGGAAGCGGAGGGCCGCUUCUGCUGGUAGCAGUGAUAGGCCUCCUUCUCCUUCCAAGAGGCAGGCGGUAAGCUCUAUUGUGAGCCCCGUCGUCACGACUCCCGCUGCACCGGCUGAGUCCGGCGGGAGUGGCUCUGCCAAGGGGCAGAGUGCUUUGGGGCUGAGCAUGGUCCCGAAGUUUACUAAGCCGAAGAAAUUCAUGCUUAAACAUUCCUCACACAAUCCAGACGCUCUUGGGAUUGAUGAGUCGGAGAAGGGAAUUUUUGAUUCCCUUAAGAACAUUGCCCAGUUGGCUCCUGGCCCGCCGAAGGAAGACGAUCGGUAGGGCGACUCUGCUGCUGGCACGUCGGGGGACCUGGCCCUCGGGGGGCAAGGAGUCUCCUGCCGUUGGCACUUAUGAGCAGAACGAGGAUCAACCGAAGAGUCCUUCGGUUGUUGCCAAUGUUGAUCCAUCCUUGCAGGAGGUGCCGCGGAAGGUGGUGGAGAAGUCUGUUGAGGGAUCGACUGCCGUCGCUCAGGGGAUAUUGCGCUGCCAUUCUUCUCUUGUUGUAAGUAUCUUUUUGUACUCGAGUAGUUGAGUUUGUCGAGUACUCUGUCUUGACUUUGUUUUGUUGACAUAAUCUGGCUAAGCAAGUCGCUGAGCAGGCCGAGUUCCUUCGGCGGACUGGGGAGGAUCUCCAGUUGACAGCUGACCAGGCACAGCAGCUCGAGAAGAUGGUUGCUCUUGCGAAGUCUUCUCGGGAGCAGUCGGAAAAGGUCAGGCUUCUGGAGGCCCGGGUUGAAACUUUGGAGCAGGAUAAUUCUGCUAUGAAAGAUAAGGCCUCCAAGCUGCAAGAGAAGGCCAAGGCUGCUGCCAAGGAGAAGAAAGAUGCUGUGGAGAAGCUGACCAAGAUCAAGGCUGACGCUGAUAAGCAAAUGAUCGGCGAUAUGAAGCAGAUCAGGGAGUUAUCCCAGCAGCUGACUGAUCUUGAGGUGGCGGCUAAAGUAGUCGUCGACAUGGUGGAGGAUGAGGAAACUGGUGAGAAGAAUCUGCUAGAGCGUCUUUGUGAAGCUCCCCAGCGACUCAGUAGCUUUUUCUCCGACACCUCUAGAGAGUACUUAGCUCAUGCCUUAGGAUUAGUUAAGUCCUUCCUCCCUUCCGCGAACUUGUCCCCUAUUGGUGAUGGUGUUGCCGUUGGCUGUUCAGAGGAGCAAUUCUCUGAGUAUGUCGCGGAGAUGAAACCCAUCGCUGAUAGGGUUAUCAGUGGCUUGGAGCCUGCGCCGGAAUCUUGAACAGUUGUUUGUAAUAUUCUUUUGGCUUUUGUGUGGAUGUGUGUCCACUAGAGUACUUUUGACAUUCUGAUUGUAUAGUACUUUUUUUUCCUUUUAGUUGGCAGCCGAUCGGCUGGUAGCCUUUUGAUGAAGCUUGUCAUUG